GAUGGAAUCAUCCUCAGUAUAUCUAUGCAUGUAACCAUUGGAAAGCAGUUUAUCUCACAUAGAAAGACCAUUAUAAAUUUCAUAUGUGAGAUACGUAUGUAACUUACCUUUAUUUUUUCUUUCACUACUACGCUUCUGCAUUCACCAGAAGCUCCAAAGACAAAAAACCCAUCAGUCAUUUAACUGGUGAUGUACACAUUUGCCAUCCUGGCGUGGCUUUGCUUUUAAGCUUAAGGUAAAGCAAUUUGUUUGUGCCGUAAGUGACAAAAGCCCACAACCCCACUGCAGCAGAUCUCUGAUUGAGCUCAACGCAGAGCAAGGUCAGACCUGGUGAAGGGAAAAUGAGCACAGCAUGGAAUCACUGCUAAGGCUUUUCCCUAUAAGCAAAGCCCGUGUAUUACUCUCCCAAUGCUUCCUUGGAAGUGCCCUCAACGUUUUAGUGAAGACUUCUCCUGUUGUCUCCCUUCCGUUCCCCGCAACAAACAGCCGUUCAUUUAGUACCGAAAACUUCAGAACAAUGUAUUCACAUUUUAAAAAGUAAGGAGCAAUUGGUAACGGUAUCAUUGCAUGGAAAUGGUCUGGCAGCCUUCUGCUCGGUGCCAACACCUGCGCUCUGCGGAGCGGAAAGAGCUGCCACUUCUUCAUCAGUGCUUCAGUGAGACGGUUACUCCGCCACGCUGCAAGAAGGUCACUGCUGACUGUUAAUAUAUAACCCACAGAUGUGUUGGAUCUUUCCCUGCAGCGCUGUUUCAGGCACCGCAGGGGAAUCCCCUCUGCUACCCAUGCCAGCAGCAGACAGGGGAGCUGCAGCCUGGGGAUGCCUGCCUCCCACCCUGCCGCCCCCCAUGCAGCUCUGCAGCGGCUGCUGGGGCUGGGCUGCACAGCGGCUCCCUGGGCUGAUCCAAGUGACGAAGAGGAUGCUCUGAAUCCAGAUUGCUUUUGUUAUCAGAAUGGCAUCAGGAACUGCAGUGCUGGUGCAGUCAGGAGAGCAGGCGCUGGGGAGGAAGCGUGCCGUGGUUCAGACUGUGUCUCUUCCCUUAAUAAAGGUAGAAUGCAAUUGAAAGGGUGUUAUGGGUACACAAUUAUCAAACAGAUAGCUCACAAACAAAAAGGAUGAUGCAUUGGUUCAGAAAAAAUCCAUACAGUCUGUAUUAAAAAUUGCUUCAUCUAUGUGCCUUCUGCAGAGAAAGUAGCUACGUGGAUAGCCAUUAGACAACAUGAACAGUACACAAACAUGAAUCCACAUGCAUAUACACAUUUACACAUGUAAACAUGCAAAAAAAAAAAAUCUCUAAAUGUAAAAGAAAUGCAAAUUACACCUCACGUAAGAGUUUAUGUCAGCUUUCAAAACCCGCACGCAGCUCUGAUCCCCUGGGCAGCCGGUUCAUGGCAGCAACAACCAGAAAAGCCUAUAGAGGGAGCAGGCCGCCUGCUUUUCCUGAGUGACGGGUUUUCAGCCUUAAGCAACAGCCCUGCGGGAAGGGCAGCCAAAGGUGGAGGACAAUCAUGUCUUAGGGAGCAGUCCCAGGGCCUGAUCGGGUUACCCUUCAAAGAAGUGGAACAGCAGCAGCAGCCACCUGCCCAGGCCAUGGGCAAGAGGGCUGCAGCUCCACGUCUCCCCUCCUUUCCUCCUUGCCCUGUCU
ensembl:lncRNA